ensembl:lncRNA
AUGGCAAAGGCUGGUCAAAGGGCUUUUUGACAGGAUUGACGGAAUUAUCAGCCAGAUAGUCAUGGACAAAUGAGUGUGGGAACUAAAUGACUAAAGGGCUUCAUGAACAGAAGAUCUUCAGGGGGUGAGUGUGUGUCACACAUGAAGAUGAGACCUAUCCUACUGCUCACAGUGAUGCUGGCAGCAACCUCUGAUGGUCUGGACAUCUGUGAUGCUACUCAGGAGGCAACAUGUAACGACACCCUAGGACUACCUGUGUAUCUGCAGCUGAUGAGGAACACCACAGGACGUGAACUGAGAUUUCGUAAUGGAACUGAAGGGAUUUUUACAUCCAGAAGCUCAAGGACAGUGUUCCAUAAUGAGUUCAACACCACAUCAUUCCGUCAGAGGUGGCAGUUUGUUCGUGAUAACGGGACCCUGAUUAUAAACCCUGUAGAGAGGAGAGACGCAGGAACAUACAGAGUGGAGAUCUCUGAAGAGUCAACAGGGAAGGGAGUGGGAAAGCACACAGUACAGCUGAUCAUUGAAGCCCCUCCUCUGACCACCAGUGCACCCAGUGCUGGGUCUGUUUCAACAUCUGCUACAUCACCUGAGAUAAUUCUUCCUGUCUCAGUGUCUCUCGUGGCCAUCCUGGUGGGUGUGUGUGUGGCAGCAGGGACGCUCUACAUCUGCAAGAAGAAGAAAACCACACAAACACCAGACUGUAGUUUGGUCCUGCCGGGUCUCCAAACUCACAGCAAAGACCCAAGACCAACACAACACACUGAACCAGGUGUGUGUGGAGAGGUGCAGUAUGCUGUGGUAAACAUAAUGCAGAGGAGCGGGGGACAGCAGAGGGGGCAGCAGCAGGUGGAGUACGGGC